rnacentral:rRNA from 1 species
CCUACGGGGGACAGCAGUGAGGAAUAUUGGUCAAUGGGCGGGAGCCUGAACCAGCCAAGUCGCGUGAGGGAAGACGGUCCUAUGGAUUGUAAACCUCUUUAGGCGGGGAGCAAUGCCGGGCACGUGUGCCCGGAGGGAGAGUACCCGCAGACUAAGCAUCGGCUAACUCCGUGCCAGCAGCUGCGGUAAUACGGAGGAUGCGAGCGUUAUCCGGAUUUAUUGGGUUUAAAGGGUGCGUAGGCGGAUUUUUAAGUCAGUUGUGAAAGUUUGCGGCUCAACCGUAAAAUUGCAAUUGAUACUGGCAGCCGUGAGUACAGGUGAGGUAGGCGGAAUUCGUGGUGUAGCGGUGAAAGGCUUAGAUAUCACGAAGAACUCCGAUUGCGAAGGCAGCUUACUAAACUGCCACUGACAUUGAUGCUCGAAAGUGUGGGUAUCAAACAGGAUUAGAUACCCCAGUAGUC